AGUGCCUCAAGUAUUACUGCGGGGGGUAGAGCACUGUUAUAGCUAGGGGGUCAUGGCGACUUACCAAACUAUGGCAAACUCCGAAUACCCGCAAGUACAGCUUGGGAGACAGAGCACCGGGUGCUAACGUCCGGACUCAAGAGGGAAACAACCCAGACCGCCAGCUAAGGUCCCAAAUUAUCGCUAAGUGGGAAACGAAGUGGGAAGGCAUAGACAGUCAGGAGGUUGGCUUAGAAGCAGCCAUCCUUUAAAGAAAGCGUAAUAGCUCACUGAUCGAGUCGUCCUGCGCGGAAGAUGUAACGGGGCUAAGCGAUAAACCGAAGCUGCGGGUGUGCACUUUGUGCACGCGGUAGGAGAGCGUUCUGUAAGCCUGCGAAGGUGGCUUGUAAAGGCUGCUGGAGGUAUCAGAAGUGCGAAUGCUGACAUGAGUAGCGAUAAAGGGGGUGAAAAGCCCCCUCGCCGUAAGUCCAAGGUUUCCUGCGCAACGUUCAUCGGCGCAGGGUGAGUCGGCCCCUAAGGCGAGGCAGAGAUGCGUAGCUGAUGGGAAGCUGGUUAAUAUUCCAGCACCGUCGUACAGUGCGAUGGGGGGACGGAUCGCGGAAGAUCAUCAGGGUGUUGGAUGUCCCUGUUGACAUAUCGAAGAUGGCGCUUAGGCAAAUCCGGGCGCGUAAAUCAAGGGUAUGGCACGAGCGAGCAUUGCUUGCGAAGUGAUUGGAAGUGGUUCCAAGAAAAGCCUCUAAGCUUCAGCUGUACGAGACCGUACCGCAAACCGACACAGGUGGACGGGAUGAAUAUUCCAAGGCGCUUGAGAGAACUCAGGAGAAGGAACUCGGCAAAUUGAUACCGUAACUUCGGGAGAAGGUAUACCCCGGUAGUGUGAAGCGCCUGCGCGCUUAGCAUGAUGGGGUCGCAGAGAAUCGGUGGCUGCGACUGUUUAUUAAAAACACAGCACUCUGCAAAGACGAAAGUCGACGUAUAGGGUGUGACGCCUGCCCGGUGCCGGAAGGU
rnacentral:rRNA from 2 species